ACAUAGGUGGUUCAGUGGUAGAAUUCUCACCUGCCACAUGGGAGGCCCAGGUUCAAUUCCCAGCUAAUGCA
rfam:Danio rerio chromosome 10, GRCz11 reference primary assembly.